GGCCUACAUAAUUACAGCAGAUUUAUGAAGCAAACCCUGGGGAUACUACCUUGGCAGAAGUAGCAUGUAUGAGUGUCUUCUAGAAGCAAACAAUUUCUGUCCUCUCCCCAUAAAAGCAAUUUUGAUAAGUUUAUAUGACUGGGUAAAAAGUCUGGAGGUGGACUGAGCUCUCUAACUUCACUAUAAGUCUUAGCAAAAGCAAUUUUGUUGCAAUAUAUUGUUCUCUUAAGUUAUUGCUGAAUUUGGAAGCAUUUCUAAUUUUCAUGAUUGAUUAGACUACUCUGUAAGCUUGUUUUAAUUAUUUUUAUUUUAACUUUCAUGCACUCUCCUAACUCUGUUAGUAGGUUUUACUCUUAAGUUGACUACCUUUCUGUAUCAGUAAUGUCAUCUUGUGAUUUUUGAGAGCUUAGUCCAAGUACACUCCAAUCAAGAAGACACUUUUGUAACCAUUUUUCUGAUAGUUACAAGACUUUGUAGAAGCAAGUACUUACACAGAAACACACGUUUGAAACUUUUUUUUAUAUGCCCUCUUUGCUGAUCAAAAGGUCCGCAAAGCAAUUUACUGCUGAAAUUAUUCUGUAAAAACUUGGUUUUAGUUUUUCACCUGAAACGUGGUUAAAGAUUUUGAUGGCCCAGUCCAGAAGUUGUGGUGUAUUUCUCAACUGCUGUUCUAGAUAAUGAGUUACCGAGAAGUAGUUACCCAGGUGAUGUACAGAUUUCACUUCUAUGCCAAGACCUCCACAAAGCUUAUUUGCUGCUGACUUCUUUCAAGAGGUUCUGAGUGAGCCCGAAAUAUGAGGGUGAAUUUCUCUGAAGAUUGCCCAAGAGGAUUAAUAGAGAUGUAUUACCUGCUUUGGUGUCUUGAAUAGAGAACCAAAACUUACAGGAUAAAUCACAUUAUUUACAACUUGUUCAGCUGUAGUAAUGAGUACCAUCUGCCAGGACUGUGCUGAGUAAAGCCUAUUGCUUGUCACAGGGAAAACUAAUGCUAGGCAAAAUGUGAUUGUGCUCUGCUGUUGCCAAGCAGUUCAUACCUAUGGACACGUAAUCACUAAAUAUCAAGGAAAGCUUGUCUCGGAGCAUCCAGAGCAGUGGGAAUGUAAAAGUGGUUUUUGGAAGCUAUCUGCGUGCUUUCGGUAUAACUCACGGAGGGUUGUCGUGGUGACAGUUCCCUUGCCAGGCCUGUGAUUCUCCCAAAGCAGGACACAAAGAUAAAAGUAGUGGCAUUCCUACAAAAAGACCUUUGGAACAUGAUGGAGAAAAAAGCGCUGCCUGACGCUCACGUCUGCGGUUAGGCCAUGCAUGGAUUGGAAGAGAAGAUCUGAUACCGCGCGUCGUUUAGAGCUCGGCUUCCAGCUGCUGAUGUGAUGCUGGUGCUCCCCGCCUUCAGUCGCUUCAGGGUUACCGGUUUCCGCUCGCUGGGAAACGAGGAGGAGCUGACAGAAUAGUUGUAAUCCGGUUACAUGCAACGACGUGCUUUAAAAAUAACUGAAGAGUUGUGUCUUGAUCGGUGCGAUCCCCGCUUUUCGCCCGUUGCCACGUGGCUAUCACGCAGUUUGACUGGAGUGAGCAGCAGCUGCUGGUGGCCCUGUUAGCUGUCUGCACCGGCGGCUUUGGGUAUCGCUCACAGAGAAAAUCGGUCGGCAGUCAAAAGGCUGCGUGCAUUUGCCAGACAGGUAUUGCAGCUUGUCGUCUUACGCUUAACUGCCCGGGCUGCUUCUGCUGUAGCUUACAGGUGGGGGAAUGAAUCACUUGGAGUUAGAUAACCUACAGGUUGAUAACAACUAAAACAUUUUGUUGCUGUUGAGUGUCCUAAACUUUUUUUUUUUCAUUGAAAUAAGUGAUGGACCUGUUGGGACUGUGCAAUCCUACUUUUGGGGUGAGAUUACCAAAAGUAAGCCAAAGAAAGUUAUUGAGAAACAAAUACUGAUUGAUUUUAAAUAACUUUUUUUUUCUACAGAUACAAGAAUGUUCAGAAUCUUAUCUUUAAUAUCUACACUUGCCUUCUAUCUACAGUGUACUGUGGAACCUGUAAUAUUUAAAACCAUAAAUUCUUACCCAACUUUUGGUAUUUGGAGGUGUGGGGAAAGCAAAUACCAUCGUACUUAAAUAUUGCCUAAUUUAACAGUGACAAAAGAAUCUGAAGUCACACGUGCUGUGCUAUCUCUUGAAAGAAGUUACGGCUUACGUGCAAUAGAAGCGAGAGAGACAUAAUACCAAUUAAAUCAUUCCUGUACUUGAGGAAGAAAUGGCUUCAGGUUCUUCUUUCGCAUCUGAGAAAAACAGAACUUUGCUUUCUAACAGUUUGUCUUUCCUUCCCCUGCCCCCACUCCCCAGCAAUUGCGUUAUUUCCUGAGCAGUUUGAUUGCAGCUGAAAUUCUGAAUACUAGAAACAAGUUGUUGCGUGGGCACACUCCUGGCAGGAGUUUAAUUCUACGGGCUGAAGGGGUGGAAGUGACACGACUGGCUACUUGUUUGCGGCAGACAUAUUCAGAGACUGAAUAUCUGUGUAAGGCAUAUCAUUGCAUAAGACAUCUCCCACCCCACCACGGGAACAAAAUAAGCUGAGACAGAAGAGUUCUGAUGUUUGGCCGGGUGUUGACUCCACGUUGAGAGGAACUGGUGUCAUUGCAGAGCCUAUGAAUGGAGGAGUAAGAUUGAGGAGAACUGAGGAGAGCGAGACACAGGAGGGGACGACGUAUCUGCAAGGGCAAUAUCAGAAAGAGAGUCUGACUUUACCUCGCUUCUCACUGGCCAGAGGCUGAGAUCUGUUUCAGAAGGAUGUUCUGCACAGGGUUAGGGUGUUGCCCCAGAGGCAACUAUUAUGCCUCUUUUUUUCAUGCAUACCCCCUGUUCCUCCUCCAAGCCUGUGUUUGGAGACUGAAAAAGGCAGGGGGAA